UCGGGAAUUUUGGGCAAUGGGCGAAAGCCUGACCCAGCAACGCCGCGUGAAGGAUGAAGCUUCUCGGAGUGUAAACUUCAUAAGAAUGGGACGAAUAAGGAGGGGUUAACACCCCCUUUGAUGACGGUACCAUUUGUAAGCUCCGGCUAACUCCGUGCCAGCAGCCGCGGUAAUACGGGGGGAGCAAGCGUUGUUCGGAUUUACUGGGCGUAAAGGGCGCGUAGGCGGCGUGACAAGUCACUUGUGAAAUCUCCGGGCUUAACCCGGAGCGGCCAAGUGAUACUGUCGUGCUAGAGUGCGGAAGGGGCUACUGGAAUUCUCGGUGUAGCGGUGAAAUGCGUAGAUAUCGAGAGGAACACCUGCGGCGAAGGCGGGUAGCUGGGCCGACACUGACGCUGAGGCGCGAAAGCCAGGGGAGCGAACGGG
rnacentral:rRNA from 1 species